GCCGGAGGGAAACCGAGUCUUAACCGGGCGUUAAGUUGCAGGGUAUAGACCCGAAACCCGGUGAUCUAGCCAUGGGCAGGUUGAAGGUUGGGUAACACUAACUGGAGGACCGAACCGACUAAUGUUGAAAAAUUAGCGGAUGACCUGUGGCUGGGGGUGAAAGGCCAAUCAAACCGGGAGAUAGCUGGUUCUCCCCGAAAGCUAUUUAGGUAGCGCCUCGUGAAUUCAUCUCCGGGGGUAGAGCACUGUUUCGGCUAGGGGGCCAUCCCGGCUUACCAACCCGAUGCAAACUGCGAAUACCGGAGAAUGUUAUCACGGGAGACACACGGCGGGUGCUAACGUCCGUCGUGAAGAGGGAAACAACCCAGACCGCCAGCUAAGGUCCCAAAGUCAUGGUUAAGUGGGAAACGAUGUGGGAAGGCCCAGACAGCCAGGAUGUUGGCUUAGAAGCAGCCAUCAUUUAAAGAAAGCGUAAUAGCUCACUGGUCGAGUCGGCCUGCGCGGAAGAUGUAACGGGGCUAAACCAUGCACCGAAGCUGCGGCAGCGAACGUAUCACCCAAGACAACUUUACGGAGUUGACGAUUGACGGAGCGAAGCGACGUCAAAGCGUUCAUUAAAGUCGAGUUGGCUUAGGGAUACGUUCGUUGGGUAGGGGAGCGUUCUGUAAGCCUGUGAAGGUGUGUCGUGAGGCAUGCUGGAGGUAUCAGAAGUGCGAAUGCUGACAUAAGUAACGAUAAAGCGGGUGAAAAGCCCGCUCGCCGGAAGACCAAGGGUUCCUGUCCAACGUUAAUCGGGGCAGGGUGAGUCGACCCCUAAGGCGAGGCCGAAAGGCGUAGUCGAUGGGAAACGGGUUAAUAUUCCCGUACUUGGUGUUACUGCGAAGGGGGGACGGAGAAGGCUAUGUUGGCCGGGCGACGGUUGUCCCGGUUUAAGCGUGUAGGUGUGUGUUCCAGGUAAAUCCGGUUCACUUUAACACUGAGGCGUGACGACGAGGCACUACGGUGCUGAAGCAACAAAUGCCCUGCUUCCAGGAAAAGCCUCUAAGCAUCAGGUAACAUCAAAUCGUACCCCAAACCGACACAGGUGGUCAGGUAGAGAAUACCAAGGCGCUUGAGAGAACUCGGGUGAAGGAACUAGGCAAAAUGGUGCCGUAACUUCGGGAGAAGGCACGCUGACACGUAGGUGAAGUGAUUUACUCA
rnacentral:rRNA from 1 species